rnacentral:rRNA from 1 species
GCACAAGCGGUGGAGUAUGUGGUUUAAUUCGAUGCAACGCGAAGAACCUUACCUGGUCUUGACAUCCCGGAGACCCUUAGGAACUAGGGGUGCUUCCAUCUGGAAGAAUCUGGAGACAGGUGCUGCAUGGCUGUCGUCAGCUCGUGUCGUGAGAUGUUGGGUUAAGUCCCGCAACGAGCGCAACCCUUGCCUUUAGUUGCCAGCAGUUCGGCUGGGCACUCUAAAGGGACUGCCGGUGUUAAACCGGAGGAAGGUGGGGAUGACGUCAAGUCCUCAUGGCCUUUAUGACCAGGGCUACACACGUACUACAAUGGCCGAUACAAAGGGCAGCGACACUGCGAGGUGAAGCCAAUCCCGUAAAAUCGGUCUCAGUCCGGAUUGGAGUCUGCAACUCGACUCCAUGAAGUUGGAAUCGCUAGUAAUCGUGGAUCAGCAUGCCACGGUGAAUACGUUCCCGGGCCUU